rnacentral:lncRNA from 1 species
UCUCACCAGGAACUUGGUGACAGAAAAAUGUCACCUGCAACAUGACUUUAAGACUGACGAGGAAAAGGUCAAAUCAAAAACUGCCCAGAGGAUCCCUGGUUUAUCCCCAAUCCAUUCUUAAAGAGCUUUCAACUUUGGCUGAAAUAAUCUGAAAGAAAUAAAAUGAGAUAAAAUAAAGGGAGUGGAUGCCACUUGUUUAUUUCCUCUGGUCACACAUCCUGACUUUUCUAUUUGUAUUGGCAGAGCUGGUGGUCUGGUCUGUAGUAGCG